GACAGUGUGUCUCCUUCUCCAUCACCGCUCUCCCACGGUUUGAGACAGGGACAUCUGUGUAAAUGGAGAUCAAGGACAAUUGAAAAGGGAAGAAAACAGGAAGUUACCACCAAAAGACACUGAGGACCAUUUUAUAGUAUGGCAGCCGAUAAAGGAUUAAAAACAAAGCAUCAAAAAUGACCUCAGACCAAGAAAUAAAGAGCAAGAGUCAGAGGAAAUCCAAAGCAACUCCAUUUCCCUGAUGCAAACUUCAUCCUUCUCUGAAUGGCCCCCUCUCACUUGUUUCCUGACCUCAGCACUAACCUCAUACAACAAAGGAGACUUCUCUUCUGAUUCUUUUGUUUCUAUUAUUCCCGC
rnacentral:lncRNA from 10 species